AACGUGCAAGCCACACAGAAUUGGUGGUACCGUAGAGCAUACCAGACUUGCGCAAAAGCAUCCUUUGGAAGAAGCUGAGGCAUGAGUGCCCGAUCUCCAGCAAUUUAUGUGCAAUUUUCUUCUGACAGUUUCUGGGCAUAGUUGCCAUGGCAAUAAUGACUCGGCAGUGUCAUUAUCGAUCUCUAACAGUAAGAGAUGCUCUGCAGUUGGGAUAUUGUUUAACAAACAGUGGUUUCUGUUGGACACUAAGUAGUGCUACAAAU
rnacentral:snoRNA from 10 species